rnacentral:rRNA from 1 species
AGAGUUUGAUCAUGGCUCAGGACGAACGCUGGCGGCGUGCUUAACACAUGCAAGUCGAACGGUGAAGGGGAGCUUGCUCCCCGGAUCAGUGGCGAACGGGUGAGUAACACGUGGGCAACCUGCCCCAGACUUCGGGAUAACGCUUCGAAAGAGGUGCUAAUACCGGAUACGAACCUCCCUGGCAUCUGGGAGGUUGGAAAGUUUUUCGGUCUGGGAUGGGCCCGCGGCCUAUCAGCUUGUUGGUGAGGUAACGGCUCACCAAGGCGACGACGGGUAGCCGGCCUGAGAGGGCGACCGGCCACACUGGGACUGAGACACGGCCCAGACUCCUACGGGAGGCAGCAGUGGGGAAUAUUGCGCAAUGGGCGCAAGCCUGAUCCAGCCAUACCGCGUGAGUGAAGAAGGCCUUCGGGUUGUAAAGCUCUUUCGGCCGGGACGAAAUCGCACGGGUUAACACCGCGUGUGGAUGACGGUACCGGAAUAAGAAGCACCGGCUAACUACGUG